CCAAUAGCGUAUAUUAAAGUUGUUGCAGUUAAAAAGCUCGUAGUUGAAUUUCGGGAUCAAUAUGUCGGUCGUGCCUUCGGUACGUACUGGCAUCAUUGGUUUCUCCCUUCUGACAAACCAUGAUGUCAUUAAUUUGGUGUUAUGGGGAGUUAGGACUGUUACUUUGAAAAAAUUAGAGUGUUUAAAGCAGGCAUUAGCUUGAAUACAUUAGCAUGGAAUAAUGAAAUAGGACGUUUGACCCUAUUUUGUUGGUUUCUAGGAUCGACGUAAUGAUUAAUAGGGAUAGUUGGGGGCAUUAGUAUUCAAUUGUCAGAGGUGAAAUUCUUGGAUUUAUUGAAGACUAACUACUGCGAAAGCAUUUGCCAAGGAUGUUUUCAUUAAUCAAGAACGAAAGUUAGGGGAUCGAAGACGAUCAGAUACCGUCGUAGUCUUAACCAUAAACUAUGCCGACUAGGGAUCGGAUGAUGUUAAUUUUUUAAUGACUCAUUCGGCGCCUUACGGGAAACCAAAGUGUUUGGNUUC
rnacentral:rRNA from 1 species